AUUAUUGCUGGAAUUGAUGAGCCAUGAGUUUCUUGGCUCAUCAAGGACUUGAAGCUGAAAUGUUUGGCUGCAUAGAGGAAGACCUUCAGGACGUCAGAGUUUCCUCUGGGAUGAAGAAUCGCCGGAGCAGAGCUUGCUCAACGCUGGCAGCAGAACCCCCAUCAGAACCGCAGGUCCAGACUGCCAGUCCGGUUUAUGGAGAGGAAACUCAACCGGAUCCAGACCAAAAUUUAAAUCAGAUUAAAUACUUUAUGACGGACCGUUGAUCGAUUGAACCAAGAAGGAGGAACAACCUGCACAAAUGUAGAACAACAAAAUAUUCCUUUUGCUGCCAUUUUCCCUUUAAAUCCAGUUGAAGCCGAACGUUUUAUCAUUGAGCUGUUUGGUUAAAUUAGUGUCUGAAUGUUUCUGUUAACGUGAUUUAAACAACUUCAGAAAGUUGUAAAUAUGUCUUC